ensembl:lncRNA
GUGAAAGGUAAGCUAAUGAGUACUCAAACUAUGAAAAGGUCUCAUGUUCUGAGUUUUAUAAAGACCCCAAAGAUUAAAUUUUCUGUGUGCAUUCCUCUGACCAAAUACAAUGUGAAACAGCCUUGACACUGGUCCUCCAUCAGAGUAUGACCUCCUGAUAUAUAUUUUUUUCAUUUAAACUUUUUAAAUAGACUUCUAUCUCCCUGAAAGCAUCUGGAUACUUGUCCUUACAUGAAACAUUAACACAGAGGUGUGGAAUAUUUUAAGACACCUCAGAAACAUUCUUCCCUAUAGCAUAAGGAUUCUGCAGAUGGCAGGAUGUGGCCACUUCAAGACAGCCAAGAAUCUGGGUCUCCACCCCUCCACCCUCCUUUCUGAGCAUGUGUAACCAAGCUGUCUGUCUGUCAGACAGUGGGAGAGAGACCAGUGUGGGAACUGCAUGUACGCUGGAAAGCUUUUUAAUGAGUAUCACUGACAUAAUUAAGAAAUUAUCUUUACGCAUUUAAAGAGAGGACUCGCUUAUGUGCUGUAUGGAAUUCUUAGUCUGCAUCUCUGGAAAUCAUAGAAUAUUUCUUUGCUUUGGCUUAGAAACCCACAAUUUAGCACAUGCAUUAUGAGGGAAAGUCACUUCUGGGGUGACAGUCAUCUCAUCCUGAAGCAAAUGUAUAAACUAGGUCAGAUAAAACUUUACUUGCAAUAAAAGGAUCUGGAAGGAGACUGGCUGAGGCAUCAAUUUCGACACUGAAGAGGUCUACGUAUGGACUGGAAAGAAGUGUACAAGCAGCCACUCCUGAAACACAUCAGAAACUCUGCUUUCAGCUUCUCUUCUGGCAAUGCUGGAACUUCCAGAAGAGUCAUUGAUGCCUGCCUAAUUCUGCUGAAGCAAUCAGGAGAAGAUUCAGAUUGGAUUUACUACCAGCAGUGGAAGGGGAGAACUAGAAACAGAAGGGAGAUAUGGAUUUCCAUUCCUACUUCCAUCCACUGUAUGCUGUGGUGAGCACCAGUGCAGUUACUAAAACCCAAUGGUGACAUCGAUGGCUGAAUGUUGUUCAUGGAAGUGGCUUCAUGAUCUAGACUCACAGAGUGCUUGGUCUUCUCAUCUGCUUCCUGAGAUUUGUCUUUUGGGAUUGUUCUUUACUUCCCACGUUCAAAAGUGAACUGGGCAGCCACAUGCAUUUCUUUUACUGAACCCAGAGUAGAGAUAAGCUGUUAUUAAUUUAUUAUGGGUUUCUUCAUGAAAUGAAUACAUUUCUUUCAGCUAUUUCUUUCACUAGUUUAGAACUAAUAUAUUGCCAACACUAUUUUCCUGUAGAAAAAAGGACUGGAAGAAAUGGUACAAAAUCCAUAGCAGAGAUAGAUCCAGGAGCCAACUGCCUUCAUUUGUUUAGAUUCACUGUAGAACUCAGUGUAAUUAAAUCUGCUCCCGGUUCAGUAAGAUUGAUGGAGGAAAGAAACCUAGGAAACUUCAGGGAGGGAGAAGAGAGGUUGCAAAAAUCACCAGAUGGCGCUGGUAGAUACGGCGUGCCAGAACAACACAGGCUGUGAGCACUUCUCUGCCUCUGGACCAAGGCAACUUUAUGGCUGGAUUGCAUUGCAUGAUCUGAACAUAUGGUGCUAUGCAUUGGUGGUUUUCAUUUGGUGGUCUCCCCAAACAUAUUGCACAUAUUAUGUGUUGUACAUUUUCAGAAUUAAGAAAUAAAGUAAAAUUCAGAAAUAGAGAAUGCACACAGUUACACAUACUCCUUGGGUCCAAAAGCAAUUUAGAAAUAUAGAGUGCUGUGGUUUAACCCCGACAGGCAACUAAGCAACACACAGCUUCUUGUUUACUCCUCCCAGGUGGGAUGGGGGAGACAACUGGAAAAGAAAAACAGUGAGGACUCAUGUGUUUGAGACAAAGACAUUUUACCAGGUAAAGUAAAGGCUGUAUGCAACAAGCAAAGCAAAGAAUUCAUUCAGUACUUCCCAUCAGCAGGCUGCUGUUCAUCCAGUUCCAAGAAAGCAGGGCUCAUCACAGCAUCACAGAAUCAUAGAAUGGCUUGACUUGAAAGGGACCACGAUGAUCAUCUAGUUUCAACCCCCCUGCUAUGUGCAGGGUCGCCAACCACGCACGCUUCAUGGUUUACUGGGAAGAAAAAUGCCAUGCUAUCACUCCGUAUAUCCUCCCUUUCUCCUUCUUUACCUCAUCUUUUAUUGUUGAUCAUGAAUCCAUACAGUAUGGAAUAUCCCUCUAGCUAGUUUAGAUCAGCUGUCCUGGUUCUGCCCCCUCCCAGCUCCUUGUACUGCCCCAGCCCCUCGCUGUCAGGGCAGCAAAAGAAACUGAAACCUCCUUGGGUCUGUGUAGUACUGCUCAACAACUAAAACACUGGUGUACUAUCACCACUGUUUUCAUCAAAAGUACAAAACACAUAAUACAAAUUAACUCUAUCCCAGACAAACCACGUAACAGGACUAUCACUAGGGUUAGGAUGGCUCUUUUUCUUCCUCUGUAUAAAUACAUGAGGACAUUCUUCAUGUUUGGUUUUAAAUAAAAUUGUAGGGGUUUUGUUUAGAAACAUCAUAAUUUUGGAAAAUGUCAUACAGAAAUUUGAGAGAUCCUCUUUUCCUUCUGUUUGAGAAAACUGAAAACAUUUAUUCAUUUUUGACUCUUGGUAGCAGAUCUUUAUUUAUUCUUUUUUUUUUUAAUUUUAAAUAUGGUUUGCUAUAGCAAUUACCUUAUAGCAGAAUUCUUCCAGAACAUUAAAAUGAACAUAUGCCCCUUCUUUUUUUCCCCAUUCCUUAACAGUCUGUUCUUUUCUAAUCACAACUGGUUGGGGAAUCUGACUUCUUUUUCCAAAUCAGUGCACUGAGAAAAGUUCUACCCCUUAUAUUGUUACAGUCUCUGAUUCUUAUGUGACCCAACUUGAUCCAAUUUAGUUUGUAGAAUUUGAGAGGAUCACAGCUCAAAGGGCAGUGCUAAGUGGACUGUCUAAUUUUAACUCUUUGAUGACUUCAGAGAUGUUGCUUUGUAGGCCAAUACACACAUACCCAUCUGAGGUAGCAUCAGUAAGGUGCAGAACAACGUGGCUCUGCUCCAGCAAAGCACUUAACCAGUCGUUCAGCGUGGAGCCCCAGGGCUGAAGUGAAGAGGGAGGUACUGUGACAUGACUUGCACUAUGAACUGCAUUUAGAUUUAUGGCUAGUGUUGAUCUGAAAAUCAGGAUAGUUAAUCCAAACAUAGUGUUUAUUUUGCACUGAAAAGAGUUAUUCACAAAGGUUAACCUAACCUAAUAGAGUCACUCCCAGAGGCUCUCUGGGUAAGCCCAUCUUGCUACGCUCAUUGUAGAGGAUGUUUAGAGAGAUUAAUCUUGUGACGAUAAAGUGAGCCUUUGUGAAAACCCUUCCAAAUGUCAUGCACAUAAUAUUUUUCUGACCUACUACAUCUCUUGGACUCUGCAUAAUAUUUCUAAAAUGCUCUAAACCAUUCCAACAUUUUGGAAAGUGUUACCUCUCUGCUUAAUCCUCAGGUGGAUGGUGUAAUAUCUGAAACUGUGUUUAGAGCUGAAGCUUGCUUUCAAUGCUGGUGUUAACCACAGCUUUAUGCUUGAAAGUUUUCAAUUGUUCCCCUGGUUUAUUGACUGAAGUGUACCACUGACACAUCUGUGGAUCAUAUGAUGUUGAUUCUUUCAGUGACAGCUUCUGCAAAAGUGAUACACUUUUCCAAGUUGUUAAAGUAGCUUUAUGGUUUUCAACUCCCCUGCUUCACCUCAGUCAAAUGCAGGAACAAAGUUUGUGUUGAACAAGUGAAUACUAAGAUAUUAAUAUGGACAGUGAGUGUACAACAAAUGUACAAUCUGGAUGAUAUUAUAGGUUAAAAAUGAUGAUACGUGACCCUAGGAUAUUUUGUAAUAUAAAUCCAUGCAAGACUAUGUAGGAGACGGUCCUUUCAAACUGUCUUUGUGUUCUUGAUUUUAGAGCUUUUUAAGGCCUUCAAAAUGUGCCUAAUCUUGUUUUGUGUGUAGAACUAAACAGAGGGUUAAUCUUUUUGGGUCACUAGCAGUCAUAAUCCUAUGACAUGAAGAACAGAAAAGGAGAAGGGAACAUCUAAAAUCUCAGCAGAUAGGGCUGAAGAUGAUUGACAGCAACUUUCUUGGCCCUGGAGAGUGGCCAGAGAAGGGUAACAAAGCUGGUGAGGGGUCUAGAGCACAGGUCUUAUGAGGAGUGGCUGAGGGAAUGGGAUUGUUUAGUUUGAUGAAGAGGAUGCUCAGGGGAGACCUUAUCGGUUUCUACAACUACCUGAAGGGAGGUUAUAGUGAGGUAAGGGUUGGCCUCUUUUCUUCUGUAACUAGUGAUAGGACGAGAUGGAAUGGCCUCAAGUUGCACCAAGGGAGGUUCAGUUUGGAUGUUAUGAAAAACUUAUUCUCUGAAAAAGUGCUCAGGCUCUUCAGUGGGCUGCCCAGGGAGGUGGUUGAGCUGCCAACCCUGGAGAUGUUCAAGAAAAGUUAAGAUGUUUUACUAAAGGACAUGGUUUAGUGGGGCAAUGUUAGUGGUAGGUGAACAGUUGGACUAGAUGAUCUCAGAGGUCUUUUCCAACCUUGGUGAUUCUAUGAUUAUAUCAGACAUGACACAUGAAUGUGCUGUGGUAAAUAAAGGAUAUCAAAGAAAGAAGACAAAGCCUAGCAGGUUAUAAGCACCUCCCUGUCCUAUGCAUGGAUUCUGAUUACUUGUGACUGGAUCUGUUCAAGACAGUUUUCCAGUGCUUUGUCUGCACAGUUCAUUCUGCAUAAAAGGUGUAAUUAUUUCUGUCAGCAGAUAACUCUGCAUUGAGCAUUGCUACAAAUAAAUUAUUUAUUUAACAAACACAGCCCUUUAAAGAAUGAGGAUUAUGCAGUGUUCUUUGUCCUACCUGAUUUACUCUCAUGUAAGUUCAGACAGCAACUUUAAAUUCAUCUCCAUCUGCCUGAACCACACUUAAAGCAAAGAGAAAAAUAUAUGUGAUCAAAGUAAUGACUUUCUCCUUCUGUGUGAAAUAGUAAACUAUUUCCUUUCAUAUGCUGAAACAGGAAAAAUACAUCUUACACUUACUUUGUCUUGAUCUUAGAAUAAAUUCACAAUUUUUAAAAAGUCAAUUGAUACGCAAACACAGAAACCAAUGUACCACUAACAGUAAACUGAUUUCUUUUUUCUAUGUAUUUUCUCUUCAAUGCAUUACAAAAGCAUCUGAUUUUUUAUCAUGCUUAGUUCAUUAAUGAUUCUGUGGAAGCAGGGCCUUGGGAAGCAUCUGUGCCAUUUGGAUUGCACAGUUGUGGAAGUUACUUGCUACCCAGAAGGAAAGUUUCAAUUGACCAUCAUAGAAAGGGAACUAUUUCCCAGGAGGAAAGAGUCCAUUCAUAUAAAGUUCAUGUCCUCCAGUAUAUCUGCUGGUCACACACACAGAAGAUAAAAAAUAAAAUAUAAAAUAAAAUAAAUGUAAAAUAAAAAUAAUAAAUGUACAUAUAUCCUGGAAAGAAAGAUCCUUGCAAUACCUAUUGUAGAUGAGCAAUUUGCACAAUGGUGGUGAAAAUGAAUGGAGUAGGAUGUGAUCCGUUCUCCAGCUCAUUCACAUCUGUCAUCAUCUUCCAAAGUACAGCAUCAGUCUAAAGUAGGAGUCCUGUUUUGAUUCAUAAUCAAGACCUACAUUUUAGUUUUAG